CAGUAGCCGCGGGAAUACGUAGGUGGCAAGCGUUGUCCGGAAUUAUUGGGCGUAAAGGGCUCGCAGGCGGUUUCUUAAGUCUGAUGUGAAAGCCCCCGGCUCAACCGGGGAGGGUCAUUGGAAACUGGGAAACUUGAGUGCAGAAGAGGAGAGUGGAAUUCCACGUGUAGCGGUGAAAUGCGUAGAGAUGUGGAGGAACACCAGUGGCGAAGGCGACUCUCUGGUCUGUAACUGACGCUGAUGCACGAAAGCUAGGGGAGCAAACAGGAUUAGAUACCCCCGUAGUCCCUGUCUCUUAUAC
rnacentral:rRNA from 1 species